GGGACGUAGCUCAGUUGGCUAGAGCACCUGCUUUGCAAGCAGGGGGUCGUGGGUUCGAUUCCCAUCGUCUCC
rnacentral:tRNA from 1 species